GGCUCCCGGCUCGCCGCCAUCUUGUAUUGGGGUUUCAUUGUUCCCGCUGGGCCGGGCGGUUUAGUGUAAUUGCCGCCGGAGGAGGAGGCGGAGUAACCUCUGGUCAGCCGAGAAACCCCACUAUCCCGUAGCCAUAACCGCUUAAACGAUUUGGGAGGUAGUGAAGGGCAGGGAGCUGGACCUGGAGGCGCCGCCGCGACAGCAGCAGCCAUGGAGGACGAGAUGCCCAAGACUCUAUACGUCGGUAACCUUUCCAGAGAUGUGACAGAAGCUCUAAUUCUGCAACUCUUUAGCCAGAUUGGACCUUGUAAAAACUGCAAAAUGAUUAUGGAUACAGCUGGAAAUGAUCCCUAUUGUUUUGUGGAGUUUCAUGAGCAUCGUCAUGCAGCUGCAGCAUUAGCUGCUAUGAAUGGACGGAAGAUAAUGGGUAAGGAAGUCAAAGUGAAUUGGGCAACAACCCCUAGCAGUCAAAAGAAAGAUACAAGCAGUAAGUAUAUUUUAUGCUCUUUGAACAUUUGUUUUUAUUGUACCCAGUAGUUUUAUUGUAAAGCCUAUAAACAUCAUACAUGUUUGCAGUAAUGUUUUGAUCGUUAUCCUAAGAUAUGAUUGAAUGUGUUUGUGUUAAUAAAUUUAAGAACAAAUCUAAUCUUUGUCAUCAGGUAGUACCGUUGUCAGCACACAGCGUUCACAAGGUAAUUGUAUCUUCUUAAACAUAAAAUGAAAUCUCUUGAAAGGGUAUUCACUAACCACCUGAAGUUUUUUUGUUUGAUAUUUGGGGGAGGGGGGCGGGAGGAGAUAUUAUUUCUAUUUGUCUCUCUAGCAAUACUUUUCUCCCUUCUCAGUGUUGACCAAG
rnacentral:sRNA from 1 species